UUGUUUCAACAAGCAGAAAGGUAAAAUAACAGAUCUAAACCAAGCUCAUUCAGAGCUUCUGGGGCUCCCCGAAUGAUUUUCUCAAACAAAA